UUGUGUGUGAAUUUGGGUCCAAUGUGUAAAUAUAGUAUGUCAAAAUGAUAAAAUAACUGUAAAUUCACACAGGUGAGGUUGUGCUCUAGGCGACCCCUAGAACGUAAACCGUGGGGUGCAGCGUCAUGAUUUUUACAACUUUGAAUAGCCAUGGGGUGUAGAUUGGCCUGAGCAAAUUUGGUGCCGGUGGAACGAAAGCCUUAGGAGGAGUUAGCGAAAUUCCAAUGUGUGCGGAUCGGCAAAAAUGCGAAAUAGCCCUUUAACCGUACAUUUGACAGAUACGCCCGCAUUGACUUUUUUGUAGAUCUUAUUGAGAUACACGUGUGUGUCGAGUUUUGUGUCAUUUUGACAAAACAUACAGGCGUAGCACUCAACAAUGUGUAUUUUCACCUUAGUGGACAAGAAAAACUUGACUUUAUUCUCCUGCCAUGGGGGGGCGCUCUUUUAAAGAGAAAAAACUCCUUCACAAAUGUGUUGAUGGCUGGACAUUGCAUCAUCCUAGAAAACAUGGAGGCCAGUGAGGACAAAAAUAAAAAGUUAUAAGACUUUUAAAUAUGUGGAUUUUAGGGUUAUAUUUGGCGGCCCCUAGAACCUAAACCGUGGGGUGCAGCGUCAUGAUUUGAAUAACUUUUAAUGGCCAUGGGGUGUAGAUUGGCCUGAGCAAAUGUGGUGCCGGUGGAACGAAAGCCUUCGGAGGAAUUAGCGAAAUUCCAAUGUGUGCGAAUCUGCAAAAAAUGCGAAAUAACCCUUUAACCGUACAUUUUACAGAUACGUGGCCAUUGACUUUUUCGAAGAUCUUAUUGAAAUACACGUGUAUGUAAAAUUUUGUGUCAAUACGACAAAACAUACAGGCGUAGCACUCAACAAUGUGUAUUUUCACCUUAGUGGACAAGAAAAAAUUGACUUUUUUCUCCUGCCAUGGGGGGCGCUCUUUUGCCGAGUAAAAAUUCCUUCACAAAUGUGUUGAUGGCUGGACAUUGCAUCAUCCUAGAAAACUUGGAGGCCAGUGGGGACAAAAAUAAAAAGUUAUAAGACUUUUAAAUAUGUGGAUUUUACGGUUAUCUUUGGCUCCCCCUAGAACCUAAACCGUGGGGUGCAGCGUCAUGAUUUGAAUAACUUUUAAUGGCCAUGGGGUGUAGAUUGGCCUGAGCAAAUGUGGUGCCGGUGGAACGAAAGCCUUCGGAGGAGUUAGCGAAAUUCCAAUGUGUGCGGAUCGGCAAAAAAUGCGGAAUAACCCUUUAACCGUACAUUUGACAGAUACGCGCGCAUUGACUUUUUCGUAGAUCUUAUUGAGAUACAUGUGUGUGUCAAUUUUUGUGUCAUUUUGCCAAAGCGUACAGGUGUUACACUCAACAAUGUGUAUUUUCACCUUAGGGGACAAGAAAAAAUGGACUUUUUUCUCCUGCCAUGGGGGGGCGCUCUUUUGGGGAGUAAAAAUUCCUUCACAAAUGUGUUGAUGGCUGGACAUUGCAUCAUCCUAGAAAACUUGGAGGCCAGUGAGGGCAAAAAUAAAAAGUUAUAAGACUUUUAAAUAUGUGGAUCUUAGGGUUAUCUUUGGCGCCCCCUAGAACCUAAACCGUGGGGUGCAGCGUCAUGAUUUGAAUAACUUUUAAUGGCCAUGGGGUGUAGAUUGGCCUGAGCAAAUGUGGUGCCGGUGGAACGAAAGCCUUCGGAGGAGUUAGCGAAAUUCCAAUGUGUGCGGAUCGGCAAAAAAUGCGAAAUAACCCUUUAACCGUACAUUUGACAGAUACGCCCGCACUGACUUUUUUGUAGAUCUUAUUGAGAUACAUGUGUGUGUCAAUUUUUGUGUCAUUUUGACAAAGCGUACCGGCGUGACAGUGAAUAGUGUGAAUUUUCACCUUAGGGGGCGCUAUGGAGCCAUUUUGCAUUUUCUUGUUUGGGCGACUUCGGAAUAUCAAAUUUUUCACCAGGCCCGGUCGUCCUGCCAAAUUUCAUGAGUUUUCGCCAGUGGGAAGUGGGCCAUUUUCCAGUUCAAAGGGGAGGAAAAAUAAUAAUAACAAAAGAAGGAAACUACAGGAACAAGAGGGCUCUCGCAGCUGCUUAGCAGCUACGCUCGGGCCCUAAAGAAAGAAAGAAAGAAAGAAAGAAACAAAGAAAAACCACUUGGGGAAUAAUAGGGCCUACGCCCGGCUGCUCUGCAGCUGGCUCGGGCCCUAACUAGGACCCCGUUGGGGCACUGGCGGGCCCGAGCCGUGUCGCCCCCCCCCCCCCCAACGUGCUUCCUCCCCGUCCCAUUUGUGUCCCCUGGCCAUCGCCCUCUCUGGUAACGCCCAUCACUGCAAAGACCCUUUUCCUUCAUCGGCGUUUGCUGUUCUUCCUGCCAGUGCGUGUUGCUUUCACUUACACUUGCCACAGCCAGCCUCGUGAGUGCCUAGCCUAUUCGAUAUCACUGUCACCUACACAGGACAGUCAUUACCUUUCUAUUAAUACUUUGUGUUUUAAUUUCACAUUAAUUUCCAUAUUGUAUAAACGACUGGAAAAAACUUGAGCCCCUGCCCCUGUAUAAUCAUGUGCAUGUCUCUGUUCUAGCUCCAAGGUGAAUCUUCACUGCUCAUGUUCUCCUCAGAAGCACUCACCUCACUCCCCUCAGGUUACUGUACACAUGCACCAACUGCCUGCUUCAGGUUUGGAUGGAGCUUCAUGGUUGUCUUUUGGAGAAAUGACCAGUCAAGUUGUGUUUGAAAUUUGAUUUUUUUCAGGGGCAAAAGGAGCCUCUGCAUUCUUGUCAAAUAUGUAAAUAGCAUGUUUUUGCAGGUGCUAAAAACCAGACUCUGAGUGUGUGUGUGUGUGUGUGUGUGUGCGUGUGUGUGUGUCUGUGUGUGCGUUCAAGUCACAUGACAUAUUUAACCGGAUGUAGCUGCAAGACGGAGCCUCGUUGACUCUCCGUUUCAACUUAUCUCAAAAGUGAGGACCUCAACCUAUAUACCAGUUUUUAAAUUGUGUUGAUAGGCCAAAUAAAACCAGAGUUAUGAUAAAUUAUGUCCGCGAUACUUGUUUUCUGCUUAUUUUGAUCACGUUCGGCGCUCGAUCGCGCUGUAUGAGACAGGAAAACAUAGCAUGCAGACAUUAGCGACAGGUCUUACAGGCGGAAAAGGCUUGCCAAAAGAAAAAAAAAACACACCACAACAUCUCUCCUAUUGGUGGAAAACUUCACCACAACAACCAAUCCAAAAUUAUAUGGUGACUGAUUGACAAGGGGCGGGUGCUUACGUUCUUCCUGCAACAUGAGAAGCGAGGGAGGGACUCUCAGCAGGGAUGCAGUCUGGGACACGUAGUUGCAAACCUAGCGACUUUGUUGUUAGAUUCAAUGACUUUUCAGACCCCCUAACGACUUUUUUUUUAGAAAGAAAGGGACUUUUAUCGACUUCUUCUGGAGUUUAGAGACUCUGACAUGAAGCAGGCUUUCCUUACUGAGGAGUUAGCAACGCUGCUAAGGGUGCAGAGCCACACAUGCGCUCAGAGCUCUGCAUGGGAGACUGAAGCUGACAGAGCUGCAGCAGUUAGCAGGUUUCACCCUCAGAGACCACCAGGGGUUCAUGUUGAGGCAUUUUAAUUUUUUUUUUUUUGUGCCAUAGACACUGUCAGCACAAUCUGCAGUUACACUAACAAAAAUGCUGCAAAAAACAAAGAAUUAUGGAAAAAUUACACAUGGACUGACAUAGAGGAGGAUCUACACAAGUUUUUUACAUCAUGUUUUACAUCAUGCAUCAUUUACAUCAUGUUUUUUUGUAGUGGCAUAAAUAAAAAGUGACAUUUGUGAGAUUAUACAGUGUUUUGUAAAUAAUUUUACAAAGAACGCCUGGGCCAUUGCCUGCAUUUUGAUGUAAAUAGAGGUAAAUUACUAUGUUCUUUGUUAAAAAUUUGCAUAUGUUUUGAAGUUUACAAUUUUUAUUUGAAGUUUAAGUUUUAAAAACAGUUCAUCACACAUAUUUGUGGUUUAAUUUCACAUUAAUUUCCAUAUUGUAUAAAUGACUGGAAAAAACUUGAGCCCCUGCCCCUGUAUAAUCAUGUGCACGUCCCUGUUCUAGCUCCAAGGUGAAUCUUCACUGCUCAUGUUCUCCUCAGAAAUAGUCACCUCACUCCCCUCAGGUUACUGUACACAUGCACCAACUAUCUGCUUCAGGUUUGAAAUGGAGCUUCAUGGUUGUCUUUUGGAGAAAUGAACAGUCAAGUUGUGUUUGAAAUUUGAUUUUUUUCAGGGGCAAAAGGAAGCCUCUGCAUUCUUGUCAAAUAUGUAAACAGCAUGUUUUUGCAGGUGCUAAAAAACAGACUCUGAGUGUGUGUGUGUGUCUGUGUGUGUGUGUGUGUGUGUGUGUGUGUGUGUGUGUGUAUGUUGGCGUGUGUGUAUAUGUGUGUGUAUCCUGCAGUACUCUGUACUCCUGCAGUGGCCAAAAAGACUUUUAAGAAUGUGGAUUUUUGGGUCAUCUUUGGCGCCCCCUAGAACUGCAGUACUCUGUACUCCUGCAGUGGCCAAAAUGACUUUUAAGAAUGUGGAUUUUUGGGUCAUCUUUGGCGCCCCCUAGAACGUAAACCGUGGGGUGCAGCGUCAUGAUUUUUACAACUUUGAAUGGGCAUGGGGUGUAGAUUGCCCUGAGCAAAUUUGGUAUCGGUGGGACGAAAGCCUUAGGAGGAGAUAGCCACAUUCCAAUGUGUGCGAAUCGGCAAAAAAUGCAAAAUAGCCCUUUAACCGUACAUUAUACAGAUACGCGCUCUUUGACUUUUUCGUAGAUCUAAUUGAGAUACACAUGAUUGUCAAUUUUUGUGUCAAUAUGACAAAGCGUUCAGGCGUGACACUCAACAAUGUGUAUUUUUAUGUAAGGGGACAAGAAAAAAUUGACUUUUUUCUCCUACCAUGGGGGGGCGCUCUUUUGGGGAGUAAAAAUUCCUUCACAAAUGUGUUGAUGGCUGGACAUUGCAUCAUCCUAGAAAACUUGGAGGCCAGUGAGGACAAAAAUAAAAAGUUAUAAAACAUUUAAGAAUGUGGAUUUUUGGGUUAUUUUUGGCGCCCCCUAGAACCUAAACCAUGGGGUGCAGCAUCAUGAUUUGAAUAACUUUUAAUGGCCAUGGGGUGUAGAUUGGCCUGAGCAAAUGUGGUGCCGGUGGAACGAAAGCCUUCGGAGGAGUUAGCGAAAUUCCAAUGUGUGCGUAUCGGCAAAAAAUGCGGAAUAACCCUUUAACUGUACAUUUGACAGAUACGCGCGCAUGGACUUUUUUGUAGAUCUUAUUGAGUUACAUGUGUGUGUCAAUUUUUGUGUCAUUUUGACAAAGCGUAUAGGCGUGACACUCAACAAUGUGUAUUUUCACCUUAGGGGACAAGAAAAAAUGGACUUUUUUCUCCUGCCAUGGGGGGGCGCUCUUUUGGGGAGUAAAAAUUCCUUCACAAAUGUGUUGAUGGCUGGACAUUGCAUCAUCCUAGAAAACUUGGAGGCCAGUGAGGACAAAAAUAAAAAGUUAUAAGAAUUUUAAAUAUGUGGAUUUUAGUGUUAUCUUUGGCGCCCCCUAGAACCUAAACCUUGGGGUGCAGCGUCAUGAUUUUGAUAACUUUUAGUGGCCACGGGGUGUAGAUUGGCCUGAGCAAAUGUGGUGCCGGUGGAACGAAAGCCUUCGGAGGAGUUAGCGAAAUUCCAAUGUGUGCGGAUCGGCAAAAAAUGCGAAAUAACCCUUUAACCGUAAUUUUGACAGAUACGGCCGCACUGACUUUUUUGUAGAUCUUAUUGAGAUACAUAUGUGUGUCAAUUUUUGUGUCAAUAUGACAAAGCGUACAGGCGUGACAGUCAAUAGUGUGAAUUUCCACCUUAGGGGGCGCUAUGGAGCCAUUUUGCAUUUUAUUGUUUGGGCGACUUCAGAAUAUCGAAUUUUUCACCAGGCCCGGUCGUCCUGCCAAAUUUCAUGAGUUUUCGCCAGUGGGAAGUGGGCCAUUUUCCAGUUCAAAGGGGAGGAAAAAGAAGAAAGAAAGAAAGAAAGAAAGAAACAAAGAAAAACCCAUUGGGGAAUAAUAGGGCCUACGCCCGGCUGCUCUGCAGCUGGCUCGGGCCCUAAUAAUAACAAAAGAAGGAAACAUGCAGGAACAAGAGGGCUCUCGCAGCUGCUUAGCAGCUACGCUCGGGCCCUAAGAAAGAAAGAAAGAAAGAAAGAAAGAAAGAAACAAAGAAAAACCACUUGGGGAAUAAUAGGGCCUACGCCCGGCUGCUCUGCAGCUGGCUCCGGGCCCUAAGAAAGAAAGAAACAAAGAACUAGGACCCCGUUGGGGCACUGGCGGGCCCGAGCUGUGUCGCGUCCCCCCCCCAACGCGCUGCCUCCCCGUCCCAUUUGUGUCCUCUGGCCAUCGUCCUCUCUGGUAACGCCCAUCACUGCAAAGACCCUUUUCCUUCAUCGGCGUUUGCUGUUCUUCCUGCCAGUGCGUGUUGCUUUCACUUACACUUGCCACAGCCAGCCUCUUGAGUGCCUAGCCUAUUGGAUAUCACUGUCACCUACUCAGGACAGUCAUUACCUUUCUAUUAAUACUUUGUUUUUUAAUUUCACAUUAAUUUCCAUAUUGUAUAAACAACUGGAAAAAACUUGAGCCCCUGCCCCUGUAUAAUCAUGUGCACGUCUCUGUUCUAGCUCUAAGGUGAAUCUUCACUGCUCAUGUUCUCCUCAGAAGCAGUCACCUCACUCCCCUCAGGUUACUGUACACAUGCACCAACUGCCUGCUUCAGGUUUGGAUGGAGCUUCAUGGUUGUCUUUUGGAGAAAUGACCAGUCAAGUUGUGUUUGAAAUUUGAUUUUUUUCAGGGGCAAAAGGAGCCUCUGCAUUCUUGUCAAAUAUGUAAAUAGCAUGUUUUUGCAGGUGCUAAAAACCAGACUCUGAGUGUGUGUGUGUGUGCGUGUGUGUGUGUGUCUGUGUGUGUGUGUGUGUGUGUGUGUGUGUGUGUGUGUGUGUGCGUUCAAGUCACAUGACAUAUUUAACCGGAUGUAGCUGCAAGACGGAGCCUCGUUGACUCCGUUUCAACUUAUCUCAAAAGUGAGGACCUCAACCUAUAUACCAGUUUUUAAAUUGUGUUGAUAGGCCAAAUAAAACCAGAGUUAUGAUAAAUUAUGUCCGCGAUACUUGUUUUCUGCUUAUUUUGAUCACGUUCGGCGCUCGAUCGCGCUGUAUGAGACAGGAAAACAUAGCAUGCAGACAUUAGCGACAGGUCUUACAGGCGGAAAAGGCUUGCCAAAGGAAAAAAAAAACACACCACAACAUCUCUCCUAUUGGUGGAAAACUUCACCACAACAACCAAUCCAAAAUUAUAUGGUGACUGAUUGACAAGGGGCGGGCGCUUACGUUCUUCCUGCAACAUGAGAAGGGAGGGAGGGACUCUCAGCAGGGAUGCAGUCUGGGACACGUAGUUGCAAACCUAGCGACUUUGUUGUUAGAUUCAAUGACUUUUCAGACCCCCUAAAGACUUUUUUUUUAGAAAGAAAGUGACUUUUAUCGACUUCUUCUGGAGUUUAGAGACUCUGACAUGAAGCAGGCUUUCCUUACUGAGGAGUUAGCAACGCUGCUAAGGGUGCAGAGCCACACAUGCGCUCCGAGCUCUGCAUGGGAGACUGAAGCUGACAUAGCUGCAGCAGUUAGCAGGUUUCACCCUCAGAGACCACCAGGGGUUCAUGUUGAGGCAUUUUCAGUUUUUUUUUUUUUUUUUGCCAUAGACACUGUCAGCACAAUCUGCAGUUACACUAACAAAAAUGCUGCAAAAAACAAAGAAUUAUGGAAAAAUUACACAUGGACUAACAUAGAGGAGGAUCUACACAAGUUUUUUACAUCAUGUUUUACAUCAUGCAUCAUUUACAUCAUGUUUUUUUGUAGUGGCAUAAAUAAAAAGUGACAUUUGUGAGACUAUACAGUGUUUUGUAAAUAAUUUUACAAAGAACACCUGGGCCAUUGCCUGCAUUUUGAUGUAAAUAGAGGUAAAUCACUAUGUUCUUUGUUAAAAAUUUGCAUAUGUUUUGAAGUUUACAAUUUUUAUUUGAAGUUUAAGUUUUAAAAACAGUUCAUCACACAUAUUUGUGGUUUUCACAGUAAAAAUGUUACUUUUUUCCACUCGGAUUUUAUGUUUUGUGUGUGAAUUUGGGUCCAUUGUGUAAAUUCAGUAUGUCAACAUGAUAAAAUAACUGUAAAUUCACACAGGUGAGGUUGUGCUGAAAAAAAUGAUACCAGGCAAGGCACGUGAUUGUCAAAUUUUGUGUCAAUAUGACAAAGCGUAUAGGCGUGAAUCUCAACAAUAUGUAUUUUCACCUUAGGGGACAAGAAAAAAUGGACUUUUUUCUCCUGCCAUGGG
rnacentral:lncRNA from 1 species